AGAGAAUUGAUCGAGUGGUUUAAGAUGGUAAGCUUGAGUCUUAUUUGGCCUAAAUAGGUCACAUCCGUUCGAAUCGGAUAUUCUCUG